rnacentral:tRNA from 1 species
GAGGGUGUAGCUCAGUGGUAGAGCACCUGCCUAGCAUGCACAAGGUCCGGGGUUCAAUCCCCAGUACCUCCA